rnacentral:rRNA from 1 species
AGUUUGAUCCUGGCUCAGGAUGAACGCUAGCUACAGGCUUAACACAUGCAAGUCGAGGGGAAACGGCAUUAAGUGCUUGCACUUUUUGGACGUCGACCGGCGCACGGGUGAGUAACGCGUAUCCAACCUUCCCAUGACUAAGGGAUAACCUGCCGAAAGGCAGACUAAUACCUUAUGGUCUUCACUGACGGCAUCAGAUGUGAAGUAAAGAUUUAUCGGUUAUGGAUGGGGAUGCGUCUGAUUAGCUUGUUGGCGGGGUAACGGCCCACCAAGGCAACGAUCAGUAGGGGUUCUGAGAGGAAGGUCCCCCACAUUGGAACUGAGACACGGUCCAAACUCCUACGGGAGGCAGCAGUGAGGAAUAUUGGUCAAUGGGCGAGAGCCUGAACCAGCCAAGUAGCGUGCAGGAAGACGGCCCUAUGGGUUGUAAACUGCUUUUGUAUGGGGAUAAAGUCAAUCACGUGUGAUUGUCUGCAGGUACCAUACGAAUAAGGACCGGCUAAUUCCGUGCCAGCAGCCGCGGUAAUACGGAAGGUCCGGGCGUUAUCCGGAUUUAUUGGGUUUAAAGGGAGCGUAGGCUGGAGAUUAAGUGUGUUGUGAAAUGUAGACGCUCAACGUCUGACUUGCAGCGCAUACUGGUUUCCUUGAGUACGCACAACGUUGGCGGAAUUCGUCGUGUAGCGGUGAAAUGCUUAGAUAUGACGAAGAACUCCGAUUGCGAAGGCAGCUGACGGGAGCGCAACUGACGCUGAAGCUCGAAGGUGCGGGUAUCGAACAGGAUUAGAUACCCUGGUAGUCCGCACAGUAAACGAUGGAUGCCCGCUGUUGGUACGUGGUAUCAGCGGCUAAGCGAAAGCAUUAAGCAUCCCACCUGGGGAGUACGCCGGAAACGGUGAAACUAAAAGGAAUUGACGGGGGCCCGCACAAGCGGAGGAACAUGUGGUUUAAUUCGAUGAUACGCGAGGAACCUUACCCGGGCUUGAAAUUGCAGAGGAAGGAUUUAGAGAUAAUGACGCCCUUCGGGGUCUCUGUGAAGGUGCUGCAUGGUUGUCGUCAGCUCGUGCCGUGAGGUGUCGGCUUAAGUGCCAUAACGAGCGCAAACCCCUGUCUUUAGUUGCCAUCAGGUCAUGCUGGGCACUCUGGAGAUACUGCCACCGUAAGGUGUGAGGAAGGUGGGGAGAACGUCAAAAUCGGCACGGCCCUUACGUCCGGGGCUACACACGUGUUACGAAUGGCCGGUACGAAGGGACGGUGUAAUGUAAAUUGCAUUCUAUUCUUGAAACCCGGUCCCGGUUCGAACUGAGGGUCUGCACCCCGCCCCGCGAAGACGGAUUCGGCUGGGAUCGCGCGUUCGCCCAUAGCGCGGUAAGUCGUUCCCGGGCCCUGGGCGCGCCCCCCC